CCUACGGGUGGCAGCAGUGGGGAAUAUUGCACAAUGGGGGAAACCCUGAUGCAGCGACGCCGCGUGAGCGAAGAAGUAUUUCGGUAUGUAAAGCUCUAUCAGCAGGAACGAGACAAGACGGUACCUGACUAAGACGCCCCGGCUAACUACGUGCCAGCAGCCGCGGUAAUACGUAGGGGGCAAGCGUUAUCCGGAAUCACUGGGUGUAAAGGGAGCGUAGACGGCUGAGCAAGCCUGAAGUGAAAGGCCAGGGCUCAACCCUGGGACUGCAUUGGAAACUGUUUAACUGGAGUGUCGGAGAGGCAAGUGGAAUUCCUAGUGUAGCGGUGAAAUGCGUAGAUAUUAGGAGGAACACCAGUGGCGAAGGCGGCUUGCUGGACGAUGACUGACGCUGAGGCUCGAAAGCGUGGGGAGCAAACAGGAUUAGAUACCCUGGUAGUC
rnacentral:rRNA from 1 species